GCCUAGGACAAAGGAGAGUGGGUUCUCCCCACUUUGUAAGCACCCUUUCCUGGAGGCAUUUCUCCAGGCUAUAUUACAAUAAGAGUUUUUCCAUCAGGCCCCAUCAUGCGGAAUGAGUGGUUAAAGAAGGGGUGCCAACUAAUGGCCAAAUACCACUGGCUAGCUCUACUACCCAGACAGUUAUGAUGUAUGAAUCUUCAGCUGAUGGCCAAGAGAAGAGCAUUCUGACCUCACCACUUGCAUCAGGAAAGGGCAGUUGUAACCUGCUUACCUUAUGGUAGGGUUGGUGGGGAGGGGAGAAAGGUGAUUCUGGGAACAAAAGAGUCACCAAAGUCCAUUGGCAAGACAAAAGUCAGAUCAAAUGGUGAUAGCUUGGGAUGCAGUAAAUGUCCUUGGCAUCUUCCAUGUUUGACCGUGCUCUAAACUGCAGAGCCAUCUUCACAGCAAUUGGAACAAAAUGUUCUCAUCCAACCAUCCCACCAGGAGAAUUCUUCAUAUGCUUGAGAUCUAUAUUCUCAGUAACUCACCAAUGGGUUUAAGAGUCAUCUAAUUCUAGUGGCAAGACAAAAAGCAAGACAACUAGUGAUGACUUGAGAUGAAGAGGAUGAUCUUCUUCAACAUCUAACCGAGCUCUAAGCAUUCCAUAGCAUGUGCUUGUGUUACCUUCAUGGCCACUGGAACAAAUUAUUCUCAUCUACCCAUUCCAGUAAGGAAAGUCUUUACAUGUCUGAUGAAGAAAAGCCUCCUAAUUCCCUGAUAAGUUUGAAGUCUGUCAGUCAUCCUUAAUCUGGUUUAGCCCAUCUUCUGAUACAGUUUACCAGAGUGUGGCCACUGGACAUGCUACAACUUCUUGAAGUCACAACUGAGAGCCAGGUGGCAGAUGGACACAAAAGGAAGAAAAGCCACUCUGAAAAGAGUUUGUCAAGCCUUCACCCCAGAGGUACUAGUCUUCCCUAAACACCAUGUACACUUGGUAGACUGGAAUGGAGAAUGCUAACAAAGCUAUCAUUUUAGGAGGGCAAAUGCUAACAGGUGAGGGACAAAAAAUGAUCAGGAAAAUCUUCAUGCUGAUAAUGGUGCUUGGUAAUAAAUUCAAAGAAGAAAAGGCCUCUGUGAGGUGGAAUUUUAAGAGAGAGUAAAUCCAGGCAUGUGGGACAGACAGUACAAAGGUUUGGAGGUGAGAAGUGGAGUAUUGUAUAUGAUGAAAAGUAAGAAAGCCAAUUUUUUUUGGAUCAUCGUGGUCCAAAAUUAAGAAGAGAACUUCUUUCUCAAAAUCAAUUGUUCUACUCCCUAAAUGUCUUCUGGAUUACAGCAAUAACCUCUCCCUCUUGAAUUUGUCAAAAUGCAUAGAUGUAUUGUACAAACAACUUGAAUAUUUACCACAUUUUCACUUUUGUAUAUUGACCCAAGGGAAAGGGAGGGACCAGGCAUGGUGAGGCGAGUUAGCAUCCUGUUACACAUAAUCCUCCCAAUACUACAGGCUUCAUUUCUUGAAUUGCUAUCACACCCUAGGUCCCUUUGUUUCUCAAUAAUACAUGGAAUCUUUUCCCCCUCCACUUAUAAAGAUCCAUUUAGAAAGAUUUAAUGCAGUCAGGGUGCAUUUAAAAAAUUCCUUGGUGGGGCUUUCCAUUAAUAACUCUGCUUAUACAGUUCCAGUAAGGAGAGGGGGAAGGAAGCAAAAGGUAUGGAUGGAAAAAUAACACCAAAGAGACUAAGUGAACUGGAUCCUAAUGGCUCUCCUACAUGAGCUUAACUGAUGUGUUCCUUUCAAUAACAACCUUGAAAUGAAAGAAAAGCACCUUAUUUGGGGUGAAAUAUACAUUUGAAAUUAUCUUCACAGACUUAUUGCCUUACAUCCUUGGGUUUUCUGUAGGCUAAAGAGAAUAGAACCUUCUCUACUAUUUGUUUGAUUUGGUCUAGUUGAAGGUCGAAAGAUGUGGUGAUGGUAGUUUGGAAAAACAAUUAAAAAGCAGUGGAGGCGGUGGCUUUUGGAGAUCCUAAUUAGCUGACCCAUUUCUAGGUAACAUUGGGGAAUUUGUGGGCAGUGAUUAUUAUCUCUUUAAAGUUCUAAUUAAAAUGUCAAACUGUGUGGUAGAAUGUCUUUCAUGCUGCAUGUAAUUUGAUUAUGUUGGCUUAUUGGAAAAUUUGCCCUGGAAAGACAAAUAAACUAAAAAGAUCCCAGAAGUCCAGGCUUUGUUCCAGAAGUACAAUCCAUAGAACCAAUAGUCUUUCAUAACUUACCACUCACCCAGGGGUAGACAUCCAAGUGUCAGAGUCAGUUUCAUAACAUGAAGGAAAAGGCCUGUUGCACAGUAAUCCCUAGACAUGGAAUAAUUAGAUGAAUGAGGGAGUCUGAAGCUGGUUAGCUGCAUCUGCUUACUACACAUAUUAUUAUUAUUUUUUUACUGAGAAGGCUCUGGAAAUGGAAAUUACCCUCCCAUAUCUCAAAAUGCCAUCUUCAAACAUUAGGUGGCUCUCAAAAGAUGGACUUCCAUGACCAAUUUGCUGAAAAGAGAGCACAGUGCUUUGAAUGUAACAGGUACUCAGAGUGAAUGUUGAUUCCCUACAACCUGGAUACUCCUCCUGCUGCCUUUCAUGCAAAAAUAUGAAAAUACUAUUGAGCUAUCAAUAGUAAGCUUAUAUUUGGGUUGUGCUGCCAGUAAUGCUGAAGGAUUUUCAUGACUCUAGCCAUAUCCUCACCUUGAAACCAAAUGACAGAAUAUAGGAUCAUAAGAUCAAACAUCUACAGCUAAAAGGCCUUGCUUUCCAGAUAAGAAAAUUGACAGUAGCUCAAAGGAUAAGUGACUUGCCCAAAGUCACACAGUUACAAAGCUAGGAUUAGAAAACCAGGCACUCUAACACAAAAGCCAGUAUUUUUUGUCCUAUAACUUGCCCAUCCAUUGUUAAAAUGUGGCCAGACAAGCUUACAAAUAUAUGUGGUAUAUAAUAAAGUGGAGGAAUUCCAUGGAGACUGGAACAACCUCCAGGAAGUGAUGCAGAGUGAGAGGAGCAGAACCAGGAAAACAUUGUACACAGAGACUGACACACUGUGGUACAAUCGAACGUAAUGGACUUCUCCAUUAGUGUCAAUGCAAUGUCCCUGAACAAUCUGCAGGGAUCUAGGAGAAAAAACACUAUCCACAAGCAGAGGACAAACUGUGGAAGUAAAAACACCAAGGAAAACCAACUGCUUGACUACAGGGGUUGAGGGGAUAUGACUGAGGAGAGACUCUAAAUGAACACUCUGGUGCAAACACCAACAACAUGGAAAUGGGUUUGAAUCAAGAACUUGUGAUACCCAGUGGAAUCACACUUUGGCUAUGGGAUGGGGGGGGGAGGAGAAAAUGAUCUUUGUCUCCAAUGAAUAAUGCUCGGAAAUGACCAAAUAAAAUGUUUAAAAAAUAAAAUAAAAUAAAAUAUUAAAAAAAAUGCAUAUGGUAUU